GCCCUUGUAGUUCAGCGGAUAGAACACUUCCGUCCUAAGGAAGGUGUCGGGGGUUCGAUUCCCUCCAAGGGCU
rnacentral:tRNA from 2 species